GCUGGCGGCAGGCCUAACACAUGCAAGUCGAACGGAGUUAUAUUGUAGCUUGCUAUGGUAUAACUUAGUGGCAGACGGGUGAGUAAUGUAUAGGAAUCUACCUAGUAGUACGGAAUAAUUGUUGGAAACGGCAACUAAUACCGUAUACGCCCUACGGGGGAAAAAUUUAUUGCUAUUAGAUGAGCCUAUAUUAGAUUAGCUAGUUGGUGGAGUAAUAGCCUACCAAGGCAAUGAUCUAUAGCUGAUCUGAGAGGAUGAUCAGCCACACUGGAACUGAGAUACGGUCCAGACUCCUACGGGAGGCAGCAGUGGGGAAUAUUGGACAAUGGGCGAAAGCCUGAUCCAGCCAUGCCGCAUGAGUGAAGAAGGCCUUUGGGUUGUAAAGCUCUUUUAGUGAGGAAGAUAAUGACGGUACUCACAGAAGAAGUCCUGGCUAACUCCGUGCCAGCAGCCGCGGUAAUACGGAGAGGGCUAGCGUUAUUCGGAAUUAUUGGGCGUAAAGGGCGCGUAGGCGGAUUAGUAAGUUAAAAGUGAAAUCCCAAGGCUCAACCUUGGAAUUGCUUUUAAAACUGCUAAUCUAGAGAUUGAAAGAGGAUAGAGGAAUUCCUAGUGUAGAGGUGAAAUUCGUAAAUAUUAGGAGGAACACCAGUGGCGAAGGCGUCUAUCUGGUUCAAAUCUGACGCUGAGGCGCGAAGGCGUGGGGAGCAAACAGGAUUAGAUACCCUGGUAGUCCACGCUGUAAACGAUGAAUGUUAAAUAUGGGAAGUUUUACUUUCUGUAUUACAGCUAACGCGUUAAA
rnacentral:rRNA from 1 species